AACGAACGCUGGCGGCAUGCCUAACACAUGCAAGUCGAACGAGACCUCCGGGUCUAGUGGCGCACGGGUGCGUAACGCGUGGGAAUCUGCCCUUCGGUUGGGAAUAACACAGAGAAAUUUGUGCUAAUACCUUAUAAUGUCUUCGGACCAAAGAUUUAUCGCCGAGGGAUGAGCCCGCGUAGGAUUAGCUAGUUGGUGGGGUAAUGGCCUACCAAGGCGACGAUCCUUAGCUGGUCUGAGAGGAUGAUCAGCCACACUGGGACUGAGACACGGCCCAGACUCCUACGGGAGGCAGCAGUGGGGAAUAUUGGACAAUGGGCGAAAGCCUGAUCCAGCAAUGCCGCGUGAGUGAUGAAGGCCUUAGGGUUGUAAAGCUCUUUUACCCGGGAUGAUAAUGACAGUACCGGGAGAAUAAGCUCCGGCUAACUCCGUGCCAGCAGCCGCGGUAA
rnacentral:rRNA from 1 species